rnacentral:rRNA from 1 species
AUGGUUGUCGUCAGCUCGUGUCGUGAGAUGUUGGGUUAAGUCCCGCAACGAGCGCAACCCUUAUCUUYAGUAACCAGCACGUAADGGUGGGCACUCUGGAGAGACUGCCAGGGACAACCUGGAGGAAGGUGGGGAUGACGUCAAAUCAUCAUGCCCCUUAUGACCAGGGCUACACACGUGCUACAAUGGCGUAAACAAAGRGAGGCGAGCCUGUGAAGCGGAGCAAAUCUCAAAAAUAACGUCUCAGUUCGGAUUGUAGUCUGCAACUCSACUACAUGAAGCUGGAAUCGCUAGUAAUCGCGAAUCARAAUGCCGCGAGUGAAGCGUUACC